rnacentral:rRNA from 1 species
GACGAACGCUGGCGGCGUGCUUAACACAUGCAAGUCGAACGGAAAGGCCCUGCUUUUGUGGGGUGCUCGAGUGGCGAACGGGUGAGUAACACGUGAGUAACCUGCCCUUGUCUUUGGGAUAAAUUCAGGAAACUGGGGCUCAUACAGGAUAGGAGCUCCUGCUGCAUGGGGGGGGUUGGAAAGUUUCGGCGGUUGGGGAUGGAAUCGCGGCUUAUCAGCUUGUUGGUGGGGUAGUGGCUUACCAAGGUUUUGACGGGUAGCCGGCCUGAGAGGGGGACCGGCCACAUGGGGACUGAGAGACGGCCCAGACUCCUACGGGAGGCAGCAGGCGGGAAUAUUGCACAAUGGGCGGAAGCCUGAUGCAGCAACGCCGCGUGCGGGAUGACGGCCUUCGGGUUGUAAACCGCUUUCGCCUGUGACGAAGCGUGAGUGACGGUAAUGGGUAAAGAAGCACCGGCUAACUACGUG